rnacentral:lncRNA from 1 species
CCUUAGUCCCUUAUUUUGACUCUGUAGAUGUCCCUGGCAAGUCGCUCCCGGAACAGGGACACUCUCCGGUUCUUCCAUGAACCCCCCCCUCGGUUCUUUUUGGACAACCCCCGACUUCUGAAGUUCUUCCAUGAACCCCUCCCAGUUUUUUUUGGUGAACUCCCUUGGUUCUCUUUGGAGAACCCCUAACUUGUCCAAUUCUUUUGAGAACCCCCAACACAGUGUGCUGAUCAUGCAGAGUUUUGACGUUACAGAGAUCCCCUUGGUGCACGCUUGUAGACUUCCAGGUAAACAUGGUUGCAAUCUAGACAUGAAUUGCUUCCUCUCCCCAGCACCUAAUGAAAUAUUGACUACCUUAAAAAAGAACAUAAAAACCAUCUUCGGAAAAACGGAGGGACUCUACAGUAGGGCACAGCACUGAACUUACGUGUGGGUUGAGCAUCUCCACACUAUAAGAAGGAGAAAAAGCUCACACCCAACUGUGAACUGAGCUACCCUCUCCCACCUCACCUACAGAACCACAGUCGGGACCAGCGCAUCCACCAGAAACAGCAAGUGAGUGAGGGAUGUCCCUGGAGUGAGUGGGGG